rnacentral:lncRNA from 1 species
GGAUAUGGUCCGUCGGAGUUCGUUCGUCGGAUUUGGUCCGUCGAUAUUGUUUGUUGUUGGAAUAAGAAAAAAAAAAGAUGAAGAUGAAGAAGAAGAGAGAUAAUGAAAGAAAAGAAAAUAAUUGUGUUUUGAGAUUUUCAUUGAGUAGAGGGAUAAGAUAGUCUUUUUACAUUGCCUCUAUGGCAUGUUUUGAAAGAAGUUGUGAAAAAUGGC